AAAAUUAUCCAGAGCCCACAGCCAUCCCCCGAUCCAUGGGCUAACACUCACCAAAAGUAGCAAAAAAAUCAUAAUUCCUAUCGUUUCGCCCAUUUAACUUGUAAAAUGUCUCCCCCGACCCCAACAAAGCAACUCGAUCCAUUUAAUAGGUUGUUAGAGGACCGCCUGAGAAGUUUCACCCAAAUAUUUUUUCAGAGUCUGCACCCACUCUCAG
rnacentral:lncRNA from 1 species